AGGACUAACGCUGGCGGCGUGCCUAACACAUGCAAGUCGAACGAGGUAGCAAUACCUAGUGGCAGACGGGUGAGUAACGCGUGGUCAACCUACCUCUUAGUGGGGGAUAACUAGCCGAAAGGUUAGCUAAUACCGCAUACGAUCGUCGCGAGGCAUCUCGUGACGAUGAAAGGAGCAAUUCGCUAAGAGAGGGGACUGCGUCCCAUUAGUUAGUUGGUGGGGUAAUGGCCCACCAAGACUCCGAUGGGUAGCUGGCUUGAGAGAGCGACCAGCCACACUGGAACUGAGACACGGUCCAGACUCCUACGGGAGGCAGCAGUGAGGAAUUUUCCGCAAUGGGCGCAAGCCUGACGGAGCGACGCCGCGUGUGGGAAGAAGGCCUUCGGGUCGUAAACCACUGUCGAAGGGGACGAUAUUGACGGUACCCUUGGAGGAAGCCCCGGCUAACGUACGUGCCAGCAGCCGC
rnacentral:rRNA from 1 species